UACGAAGGGUGCUAGCGUUGUUCGGAAUUACUGGGCGUAAAGCGCGCGUAGGCGGCGAUGCAAGUCAGAGGUGAAAGCCCUGGGCUCAACCCAGGAAUUGCCUUUGAAACUGCAUUGCUAGAGUGUCGGAGGGGAUAGCGGAAUUCCUAAUGUAGAGGUGAAAUUCGUAGAUAUUAGGAGGAACACCGGUGGCGAAGGCGGCUAUCUGGACGACAACUGACGCUGAGGCGCGAAAGCGUGGGGAUCAAACAGG
rnacentral:rRNA from 1 species